rnacentral:rRNA from 1 species
UGAGGGUCAAAGGCGCAAGUCGCCUGUGGAGGAGCCUGCGUUCGAUUAGCUUGUUGGUGGGGUAAAGGCCUACCAAGGCGAUGAUCGAUAGCUGGUCUGAGAGGAUGAUCAGCCACACUGGGACUGAGACACGGCCCAGACUCCUACGGGAGGCAGCAGUGGGGAAUAUUGGACAAUGGGCGAAAGCCUGAUCCAGCAAUGCCGCGUGUGUGAAGAAGGUCUUCGGAUUGUAAAGCACUUUCGACGGGGACGAUGAUGACGGUACCCGUAGAAGAAGCCCCGGCUAACUUCGUGCCAGCAGCCGCGGUAAUACGAAGGGGGCUAGCGUUGCUCGGAAUGACUGGGCGUAAAGGGCGCGUAGGCGGUUUACACAGUCAGA